rnacentral:lncRNA from 1 species
UGCUGCGACAUAACAAGUUUUCUUUUCUUUUCUUUUCUCUUUUCCCAUCAAUUUUAAAUUUUUUUGAAGAAGGGAAACAAACAACAACAGCCCAGAGAGAGAGAGAGAGAGACAGAGCUGAAAGAAAAAGAGAGAGAAGAGACAGAAUGGUCAUGAAGAAGAAGAUGGUUUGAAGAAGAACUGGGUUCCAUGGAUUGAUAAUGAAGAAGCAGAAGCAGCAGUUGAUGGCAUGCAAAGAGAAGUAGAGAAAAACUCAAAACAGAAAAGAAAAAGUUGCUUCUUGCUCUUCUCAGUUCUCAGCCCUCUUUUUCUCCCUUCCUUCCAAAUCUGAGAGAAAAACCUGUUCUUUCUUCAUCCUCUUCCGUGAAUCUUGGCUGUUUUUUACUUGGAGGAAGGAAAAAAAGAAGGGUUUUUGUUUAAUUUGGGUGUUGUUUAACUUCGAGCUCUAGGGAUGCCCUUCCAUCUGGAAGGGAAGGGGGGUUUAGAUACUGCUUCCAUUUUCUCACAGCAAGAAGCUUGGAAGCUGCAACAUCACAACAACAAGCAGGAAGUUAACAGCUUUACGGAGCCUAUUUC